rnacentral:lncRNA from 1 species
CAUUGGCCAAAUAGGAGAUAGACAAUGUCGUCGUUCUUUUUGGCGCCGCCCUGUGGCGAAAUUUUCCAAAGACAAUUUUCCUUUGCCAAAUAACUCCCGCCCACAUUAAUAAUUCUUGGCCAUAUUUUCUACAUAGACUCGGGUUUGCCCCUUGAUGGUUUCCCUUGAGUUUGAAGAACAUUCCUUUGGCCAAUUAGAAGAUAUACAAUUUCCUCGUUUAUUGCGCCCCCUAAUGGCGAAAUUUUCCGAAAUUUUUUUCGAACGACAGUAAGGUUAGCACCAACAUGUGUGUAAAAUGUGGACUCGAUCCGAUGUCUAAUUUUGGAUUUCUUUGGAUUUUUGAUAUUCCACGUCUAAUUUAGCUCAUAAACCAAUAUUCAAAACGCUACCGUUUCGUUAUCGAAGGACGGAUCAAAAAAGUGUUUUCAUGCAUUAUUUGCGUGUGCGUCUGAAGAUGUCGUGUGCAAAGUUUGGUGUCGAUUGGUCAAGAAAUGUGGGAGGAGUAGGGAAAGUUAAGAAAUGUGGGAGGAGUAGCGAAAAUACAGUUUUGCGGUUUUCGCGAUUUAGCGAAAAAAAAUUCUAGACGCAAAUGGGCGUGGCCUAGGCCAAAAGAUGCAGCAGACUCCAGUGCAUCUGUGUGUACAAGUUUUUGGACUCUGGGAGGUUCGGUGUGGGAGUUAUAGCCCCAAACGCGUAUUCCUUGGUAUAGCGCCACCUAGUGGCCGGCAUGUCUGGAUUUGGUCGUCUGCAUAGUCUUCACGUACCUGGAUCUAGUCAUGUAAUUGGCGUGCGUGCACCAUUUACGGUUUGGGCUGUAGUACCACUUUCUUGGUAGGAAGUAUAAGAACUAGAACUGCAAGCAGUUAUGCAGGGGUCCAAGAAGUGUGCAUUUCGCCGGCACAACGCGACAAGAAAUGUGCAUUUCACCGGCACAACGCGAAGCAAGUAUUGAAAACGCUACCGUGAACAACAUGUGGAUAUAAAGGUUUUGACUGUGGGAGCUUCGGUGUGGGAGUUAUAGCCUAAAACGCGUUUUCAGAACAUUGGCCAAAUAGGAGAUCGACAAUGUCGUCGUUUUUUGGCGCCGCCCUGUGGCGACAUUUUCCAAAGACAAUUUUCCUUUGCCAAAUAACUCCCGCCCACAUUAAUAAUUCUUGGCCAUAUUUUCUAUAUAGACUCGGGUUUGCCCCUUGAUGGUUCCCUUAUAGUCUGAAGAACAUUCCUUGGGCCAAUUAGAAGAUAUACAAUUUCCUCGUUUAUAGCGCCCCCUAAUGGCGAAAAAUUCCGUUAUUUUUAUUGAACGCCAUUAAGGGUAACACCGACAUGUGUCUAAAAUGUGGGCUUGAUCCGAUGUCUAAUUUUGGUAUUUUUUGAAUUUUUGCGUUUCGACGUAAAACGUAGCUAAUAAACCAAUGUUCAAAACGCUACCGUUUCGUCGUCGAAAGUCGGAUCAAAAAACUGUCUGAGGGUUU